rnacentral:lncRNA from 13 species
CUAGACGCGGCCCCGGGUGCAUGUCCCUUCCAGAGCUCUGGAGACCCGAGGACAGAAGCAGGUGCUCAAAAAUGGACGACAGAACCAAGAGAGGAAGAGGCGUCUGCAGAGCCGACAGCAGCAACCAGGCGCCAAGCCCGGACCCCAGAAGGUGGUGGCCAGGCCUGGGCCCGCAGGGGAGACCCGGGAGGCCUGCUGCUGAGGCCCAGGGCAGAGCCACGCCCAACGAGGUUCCAGGACAGAAAGGGGUCCCACAAACCGCAGCUGUCAUCCUCAGCUGCAACGGCAAAUAGUUCCCCAGGGUGCUGCCCCAACACCGUCCCAAGUCGCAGCUGGAGACGCGGACGCGCAGAGGCCACCCCCUGGCCGGGAAAGGCCGGGAAGGCCGGGGUCACCGCGCUAGCUCAGCGGGGACAGCCGAGGUGCGGGCCCAGCCGCCAGCGCCUUUCUUUCCCUGAGGAACGUGCGCCCCUUGCCGAGCUCCUUCGCAAACGGUGGAGAGGACUCGGGGGGCCCGUGCUCCACGGAGCUGGACGGGGCACCCUGCGCACCCGCCGCCUCGGCCAGACGCCGGGCCCUGUAACCCCGGCUCUCAGGGUUCCCCUCCCCAGCUCGGAGCACCGGGAACAGCGCGCCCGCCCUCCCUCUUCCCCACUGGAAGGGAUUCUGUCCGGGCAAUCACACAGACUAGAGCAGCAGGGCUCCGGCCCCGGCCCGCGGCUCAGGCGCACGGGCUCUGCCUUUGCAGCCGAGUCGGAGGUGGGGGCAGACGCUCCGCGGAGCGGCCCGGGCCGGCCCAGAACGCGGGCACUGCAAGAUGGCGAUGCCUGCGGGCCCGGCUCCCGCCCAAGCUCCCUGCUUCCGCAGCCCGCGGGGAAGGCGCCCGAGGACCAGGGCGGCACCAGGCACGAGCAGGUGGGGGCGCCGGGCGGGUCCGGGACUUCGCGGGGACGGAGACCCCCGGGCCCUCCCGCGUCACAGCCGGGGGCUGCGCUUUGGGCCCGGUCUCAGGGUGGCGGCCUCCUCCGCGGUCAGACCAGGCGCCCGGGGCCCGUCCUCUUUCCCCACAGCGCGCCGCCACCGUAG